rnacentral:rRNA from 1 species
AGAAAUCAACCGAGAUUCCCAAAGUAGUGGCGAGCGAAAUGGGAUGAGCCUUGUACUCUUUAUUUGUAUUGUUAGCCGAACGCUCUGGAAAGUGCGGCCAUAGCAGGUGAUAGCCCUGUAGGCGAAAACAGUAUGAAAGAACUAGGUGUACGACAAGUAGGGCGGGACACGUGAAAUCCUGUCUGAAGAUGGGGGGACCAUCCUCCAAGGCUAAAUACUCGUGAUCGACCGAUAGUGAACCAGUACCGUGAGGGAAAGGCGAAAAGAACCCCGGGAGGGGAGUGAAAUAGAUCCUGAAACCGCAUGCAUACAAACAGUCGGAGCCUCGUAAGGGGUGACGGCGUACCUUUUGUAUAAUGGGUCAGCGACUUACGUUCAGUAGCAAGCUUAACCGUAUAGGGCAGGCGUAGCGAAAGCGAGUCCGAAUAGGGCGUUCAGUUGCUGGGCGUAGACCCGAAACCAGGUGAUCUAUCCAUGGCCAGGAUGAAGGUGCGGUAACACGUACUGGAGGUCCGAACCCACUAACGUUGAAAAGUUAGGGGAUGAGCUGUGGAUAGGGGUGAAAGGCUAAACAAACCUGGAAAUAGCUGGUUCUCUCCGAAAACUAUUUAGGUAGUGCCUCGUGUCUCACCUUCGGGGGUAGAGCACUGUCAUGGUUGGGGGGUCUAUUGCAGAUUACCCCGCCAUAGCAAACUCCGAAUACCGAAGAGUGCAAUCACGGGAGACAGACAUCGGGUGCUAACGUCCGGUGUCAAGAGGGAAACAACCCAGACCGCCAGCUAAGGUCCCCAAAUAUGGCUAAGUGGGAAACGAAGUGGGAAGGCUAAAACAGUCAGGAGGUUGGCUUAGAAGCAGCCACCCUUUAAAGAAAGCGUAAUAGCUCACUGAUCGAGUCGUCCUGCGCGGAAGAUGUAACGGGGCUAAGCCAUAUACCGAAGCUGCGGAUGCGUGCUUGCACGCAUGGUAGGAGAGCGUUCCGUAAGCCUGCGAAGGUGCCUUGUAAAGGGUGCUGGAGGUAUCGGAAGUGCGAAUGCUGACAUGAGUAGCGAUAAAGGGGGUGAAAGGCCCCCUCGCCGUAAGCCCAAGGUUUCCUACGCAACGUUCAUCGGCGUAGGGUGAGUCGGCCCCUAAGGCGAGGCAGAAAUGCGUAGCUGAUGGGAAGCAGGUCAAUAUUCCUGCACCGUCGUUAGAUGCGAUGGGGGGACGGAUCGCGGAAGGUUGUCCGGGUGUUGGACGUCCCGGUCGCUGCAUUGGAGAAGGCGCUUAGGCAAAUCCGGGCGCAGGAUUCAAGGGUGUGGCGCGAGCGACUUCGGUCGCGAAGCAAUUGGAAGUGGUUCCAAGAAAAGCCUCUAAGCUUCAGUCUAACGAUGACCGUACCGCAAACCGACACAGGUGGGCGAGAUGAGUAUUCUAAGGCGCUUGAGAGAACUCGGGAGAAGGAACUCGGCAAAUUGGUACCGUAACUUCGGGAUAAGGUACGCCCUUGUAGCUUGACCAGCCUGCGCUGGAAGGGUGAAGGGGUUGCAAUAAACUGGUGGCUGCGACUGUUUAAUAAAAACACAGCACUCUGCAAACACGAAAGUGGACGUAUAGGGUGUGACGCCUGCCCGGUGCCGGAAGAUUAAAUGAUGGGGUGCAAGCUCUUGAUUGAAGUCCCGGUAAACGGCGGCCGUAACUAUAACGGUCCUAAGGUAGCGAAAUUCCUUGUCGGGUAAGUUCCGACCUGCACGAAUGGCGUAACGAUGGCCACACUGUCUCCUCCCGAGACUCAGCGAAGUUGAAGUGUUUGUGAUGAUGCAAUCUACCCGCGGCUAGACGGAAAGACCCCAUGAACCUUUACUGUAGCUUUGCAUUGGACUUUGAACCGAUCUGUGUAGGAUAGGUGGGAGGCUAUGAAACCGGAACGCUAGUUUCGGUGGAGCCGUCCUUGAAAUACCACCCUGGUUUGUUUGAGGUUCUAACCUUGGUCCGUGAUCCGGAUCGGGGACAGUGCAUGGUAGGCAGUUUGACUGGGGCGGUCUCCUCCCAAAGGGUAACGGAGGAGUACGAAGGUACGCUAGGUACGGUCGGAAAUCGUGCUGAUAGUGCAAUGGCAUAAGCGUGCUUAACUGCGAGACCGACAAGUCGAGCAGGUGCGAAAGCAGGUCAUAGUGAUCCGGUGGUUCUGUAUGGAAGGGCCAUCGCUCAACGGAUAAAAGGUACUCUGGGGAUAACAGGCUGAUACCGCCCAAGAGUUCAUAUCGACGGCGGUGUUUGGCACCUCGAUGUCGGCUCAUCUCAUCCUGGGGCUGUAGCCGGUCCCAAGGGUAUGGCUGUUCGCCAUUUAAAGAGGUACGUGAGCUGGGUUUAAAACGUCGUGAGACAGUUUGGUCCCUAUCUGCCGUGGGCGUUGGAUAUUUGAAGGGGGCUGCUCCUAGUACGAGAGGACCGGAGUGGACGAACCUCUGGUGUACCGGUUGUGACGCCAGUCGCAUCGCCGGGUAGCUAUGUUCGGAAGAGAUAACCGCUGAAAGCAUCUAAGCGGGAAACUCGCCUUAAGAUGAGAUAUCCCUGGAGGCUUGACCUCCUUGAAGGGUCGUUCGAGACCAGGACGUUGAUAGGUCGGGUGUGUAAGCGCAGUAAUGCGUUCAGCUAACCGAUACUAAUUGCCCGUAAGGCUUGAUCCU